GGAAGAUCAGAGCUGGAAGGGGAGGAGUGCUGAGCUGCUGUGCUUGCUGUGGAUCUGGGGCAGCAGUUUCCUAGGUGUCAGACAAUGCUGGAACCAAGAACCUCUGAGCACGUUUCAUCCUCUGGUUUUCCUGAAACUUUCAGUUACACCCUGAAGUUACUGGAAUCCAUGUUCUGUUCAAGUAACCACAUAGAAACUUAUCAUGGAGAUCAGCUGAGACCUCAUGGCAGAAAUCUCGUUUGAAACAACUGGAAAUUACUUCACCUUGGCUCAAGCCACAUCACAACAGAUACUUUCUCCUCCUUCUCCAGCCCUGCUGUGAGCCAAAGGCGUUUUCUGGGCUGCAACUUUCCUGUGCUGAAUGACCUUGAGCCUCUUGCUGCUGCCCUGUCUUUGCUUGGCUCAGCAUGUGCAUCCCUUGCUCUUUUAAAUAUGCCUGCAUGCUCACCUUUGCUGUCUUCCUUUUCCUCCACAGAUGAAGGUAUUGGUCCUUUGUCAGGAUUUGAGACUCCCACGUUUUAGCUCAUAAAUACCUAUAGCAAUUCUCCAUGCUUUUGACAGUGAGGAUUUUUUCACCUUAUUAAAAGAAUGUUGGUAUUGUCAAA
rnacentral:lncRNA from 1 species